rnacentral:rRNA from 1 species
CGAACGCUGGCGGUAUGCUUAACACAUGCAAGUCGAACGAGAAAGCCUCUUCGGAGGUGAUUAAAGUGGCGCACGGGUGAGUAACACGUAGAUAACCUGCCCCUUAGUUUGGGACAACCCUUCGAAAGGGGGGCUAAUACCGAAUAAUACCAAUUGUCGAGUGGCAGCUGGUUGAAAGAUUUAUCGCUAGGGGAUGGGUCUGCGGACCAUUAGUUAGUUGGUGGGGUAACGGCCUACCAAGGCAGCGAUGGUUAGCGGGUCUGAGAGGAUGAUCCGUCACACUGGAACUGAGACACGGUCCAGACUCCUACGGGAGGCAGCAGUGGGGAAUUUUGCGCAAUGGGCGAAAGCCUGACGCAGCAAUACCGCGUGAGUGAAGAAGGCCUUUGGGUCGUAAAGCUCUUUUCUAAGGGAAGAUAAUGACGGUACCUUAGGAAUAAGCACCGGCUAACUCC